AAAAAUGGUGCUUGGAUAAAACCUAAACCCUCGGAUUCACCGGAAGAACAACGGCUGCAACUCUCCCCGCACGACUUACCGUCUUCACUCUCUCCACCGAGCCAGAAAAUGAUGCAACGAGUAGGCAGGAGACUUAUUGCCAGUAGGCUCGGCAUUCGUUUCUGCCAAUGUCGAGAACUGAGUUUUCUCCAAUACCAGGUGAGGAAAACAGAACCUCAGAAAUCUCGUUCUUUUCUUUUAUCUCCGUCGCGUUCUCUUCUCCAAAGCCUUGAUUUUGGCACAAAAUUGAGAACCCAAAUCUCCAAUUUCGCUUCCCAACCAGAAUCUGAAGCCACCAAGGGCAGCGAUCAUAUUGGCGCUCUAAUUGAGGCGCUUUCUGGUAAAGAAUGGUGCAAAGAAACAGUCGACCAUUUGGAAUCCCUUGAUCUUUCUUGGACCAAUCCGAUGGCAUUGUGGGUGUUGAGGAGGCUUGAUGAGGACCCGACUUUGGCUUUGAGUUUCUUCAAUUGGGUAUCGACGAAAAUCGCCGGGGGCUUGGAUUCUGAGGCGUAUAGUAUGAUGCUUGAGAUGUUGGUGCUGAAGGGUCACAUGGAAGAAUUCUGGGAUCUCGCCGAGCGGUUGAAGGUCGCGGGGCUCAGGAUGUAUAAGGGUACCAGGAGAAAGAUUAGGAAGAAAUUUUCUGAUGAAAACAUGGUGGACAGUUCACGGAGGUUGGAUGACUUCUUCGGCAUAAACGUUGAAAAGGAUUUGAUGAUAUUCGACGAAGAAGAAUUGGAGGCGUCCGAUGAGAUAGUUAGGCUAGUUGGAAGGAAGGAAGAAUGGGAUGAAGAAAUAGAGGAUAAGUUGAGUUCUGUAUCUCCAAAUAUAUCCAACGGAUUGGUGGUUAAUAUAUUGAAGAUGCUUAAGAGGGACCCUGUGAAAGCUUUGAUGUUUUUCCGAGGGCUUGGUGAGAGGCUAAAUUACAAACACGAUGCAGUUACAUACAAUGCAAUGAUCAGUGUAUUGGGCCGAAGAGGUAGUAUUGAUGAUUUUUGGGCUAUUGUGGAGGAAAUGAGAGAUUCAAGGUGUGAAAUGGAAAUUACCACCUAUCAAAACCUUUCACAGCGGUUCCAGAGGAGAAAAAUGUUGAAGGAAGCUGUUGAUCUAUACGAAUUCAUGGUGGCCAGUCCAUAUACGCCUCCAGCACAAGAUGGCAUCUUUCUUUUGCGAAGAAUUGUCAUUUGUGAUGUACCGGACUGGGAUUUGUUCGCCAGAGUUAUAAAGAUCAUGAAUUCAUCCGGGCAAUCUGUGUCGAAGAACGCUUUUGUUGGCAUUCUGAAAUCUUUGACCAGUGCAGGAAAAUUGGAUGAAACAAAGCAAGUAAUGAAGUCAAUGGAAGAGGGUGGCUUUGUACUUGAGAGUAGUUUGUGUGGGAGAGCUGUUUCUGCGCUUUGUGACGCUGGUAUGUUGGAGGAGGCAUGGAAUCUGUUUGAUGAAUUGGUUAAACUGGGUUGCAUGCCUGACUUGGCAACAAUGAGAUCUCCUAUUCAAAAGUAUUGUCUUUCUGGCAAACUAGACGAAGCGUUAAACAUUCUUCAGAAUAUGAUGCAACGAGAUGGACUUAUAUAUCCAGAUGCUUUAGAUAUACUGGUGAAUGCAUUUUGCAGGGAAGGUAGGGCUGUUGAUGUGCUGCCAUAUGUUUCUGAAGCUGUGAACAAGGAAAAACUGAGACCAGCUCAUGAUACGUUCAAAGUCUUGAUACAAAGCUUAGCUUGUCAAGGAAAUUUCAUGGAGGCAUCAAAAGUUCUACCCCUGAUGAAAAGCCAGGGUUUCCCACCUUUCCUGGACCCACUUGUUGACUUUAUUUCUAAGUUGGGAACAGCAGAUGAUGCAUUAAGCAUGCUGAAAGCAAUGACGGUGAAAAAUUAUCCUGCAAAUUCAGUGUUCCUGCGCAUGUUCAAGGCCUUUAAUGAUGCAGGCAGGCAUCAGAUUGCACAGGACUUGCUUUACAAAUGUCCAAGCUCUAUACGUAACCAUGCAGAUGUUUUGGAUCUCUUUUCCUCUAUGAAAUAUGAGCUCGCUGCUGCUUAGGCACAACAACGACAGGUUCUAAUGCAUGGGGUGGUUGGCUCCAAACUGAAGAGGUAGAUAGAAUUGAGCAGCUUCAACUAUGCGCAGUGCUAAUGGUACGAGAAGCUAAGGCUUCCCCCACCCGACACCUUCAGCUCGAUACCGUGCCUGCUCCCUUGUGGCUAAUGUUUAAAUUGGAAGUAACAUUUACCAUCUGCAAGGAGGGUCAUGUGGCUGCAAACAGGAGGAACUCAACGAUGCGUUCCAUCUUUAAAUAGCUAAAUCUUAUGAAAAUUAUGACUGUUUUAGCUGCAUCAUAUCAACUCCAUCGCAUUCUUGAGUCUUUCUCAUUUCGGAUGAAAAUUGGGGAUGUCAGCCGAUUGAAUUCAGAUUAGACCAUAAUCGACUUUUUGAAUGUGUUUUAUUUGAUUAUCUUAAUUCUCACAUGUAAUUGUAUUUGGGUAUUUGUAGAAUUUGAUAUUUAUUGGAUUUGGUAGGGAAAAUUUUUUCCAUUUCUGUAUCAUAUUACUACUUGAAUAUGAACUUAAUUUAUUGUCUGAUUCAACUACUUCAAGUCGCAUUCAGACACCCAAAAAAUCGACAUCCCUAUCUAAAAUCGACUUUUGAGGUGCAUGAAUGGUCUCCAUCACUGGAUUUUUCAGCAACAAAGGAGAAAUGAAUUAAAAGAAUAUGUUCUAUAGUGGAAAUGAUGUGAUGCUGGGGUCUAGCAGUUAUAGGAACGUGAGUUUGCGACAAUGAGCUUACAGCAAAGAAGCGAUGGAGGCAUCACCAAUGAAACGACCGGAUCCGCUCUUCCCAUCCUUCCGUGAGAGGGUGGGAGACUCUGAGAGAAAUAGCCUGCGAGAAUGGUGCUCAAGUAAGCUUGAUGCAAUCUAUCUUUAGAAUAACAAGACAUCCCUUCUUUCUCUAUUGCUGCCAUACGUGCGUCUUAUUAAUUUAGCUCUUUGGCAUCACACCUCUCUCUAUAAAAGGUGGGAGAGCUGUCAUGUUUACAGAAGUCAAGAUCUAUAGGCGUAGAAUGAUAUAGAAAGUCCCUCGUC